UGGUGGAGUGAUUUGUCUGGUUAAUUCCGUUAACGAACGAGACCUCAGCCUGCUAAAUAGUCCGUUGAACGCUUUUGUGUUCAUUACGGAGCUUCUUAGAGGGACUUUCUGUUUCCAGCAGACGGAAGUGUGAGGCAAUAACA
rnacentral:rRNA from 1 species